rnacentral:tRNA from 1 species
AUUUAAAUAGUUUAAAAAAAACGUAAUAUUGAAGCUAUUAAGAUAAUAAUUUUUAUUUUUAAAUA